rnacentral:rRNA from 1 species
AGAGUUUGAUCCUGGCUCAGGAUUAACGUNGGCUGUGCGCCUAACACAUGCAAGUCGAGCGAUAUAGCGGCAGACGAGAGAGUAAUAGUAAGGAACUUACCCCCGAGUGAAGGAUAGCCAGCCGAAAGGUUGGGUAAUCCUGCAUAAUAUCGAAAGAUCAAAGCCUUCGGGCGCUUGGGGAGAGGCCUUACUCCUAUCAGCUUGUUGGUGAGGUAAUGGCUCACCAAGGCGAUGACGGGUAGCUGGUCUGAGAGGAUGAUCAGCCUCGAUGGGACUGAGACACGGCCCAUACUCCUACGGGAGGCAGCAGUUGGGGAUUUUGCACAAUGGGCGAAAGCCUGAUGCAGCGACACAGCGUGAAGGAUGAAGGUUCUAGGAUCGUAAACUUCUUUUAUCAGGGAGUAAUCUUGAAAGUACCUGAUGAAUAAGGACCGGCUAACUACGUGCCAGCAGCCGCGGUAAUACGUAGGGUCCGAACGUUAUCCGGAAUUAUUGGGCGUAAAGAGUUCGUAGGUGGUUUUGUAAGUUGGGUAUUAAAUCUAUCGGCUCAACCGAUAAACUGUACUCAAAACUGCAUUACUUGUGGUUUGCAAGGGCAGAUGGAAUUCAUGGUGUAGCAGUGGAAUGCGUAGAUAUCAUGAAGAACACCAAUGGCGAAGGCAGUCUGCUAGGCUUAUCCAGACACUGAGGAACGAAAGCGUGGGUAGCGAACGGGAUUAGAUACCCUGGUAGUC